rnacentral:rRNA from 1 species
UACGAGUGCUUCGAGCGUUAUCCGGAAUCAUUGGGCGUAAAGGGUGCGUAGGUGGCGAUGUUAGUCUCGCGUUAAAUCUUUCGGCUCAACCGAGAGGCUGCGUGGGAAACGGCAUUGCUUGAGGACGGAAGAGGUCUCUGGAACUCUAAGUGUAGCGGUGAAAUGCGUUGAUAUUUAGGGGAACACCAAAAGCGAAGGCAAGAGACUGGUCCGCUCCUGACACUGAAGCACGAAAGCGUGGGUCGCGAAUGGG